ACUCUUUGUGCUCAUUGAAGUCGUAGAGUAAAAGAUCUGAGUGUUAAUCUGAUUUGUAGGCUCUAUAAUUAGCAGAGCAGAAGCCUUUUCUCUCAGCAGGAAGAGAGUGAAAGGUCCAUCACUGCUCUUCAGUGGUGUGUUCGUCAGGAAGAGAAGUGGGUUUCCUCUGUUUGGAUGAGCAGAAUCAGGCCGGACUCUUCACAUUUACAGGCAAGAGUUCAGUUGGAGGACCAAGCUCUAAAUUUAUCACCUGAGUUAAAAUAAAAUGGAAGAUGUCUCUAAGCCUCUGUCACCUUCAGCUGCAGAGUCUCAAGAUGACCAAGAACUGAUGCCAGACCAGAAUCCAAAGAGUCUUGGAGAUGAUCAGGACCAGAAAUGUUGGCUGGUAAAUCCAGAUGAAGAUGACAUUUCUGGCAAAGUGCUUGAAGACCAGGAUCCUCAUCUGGAUCAUGAACCAGAGGUUCAGACAGAAGACAGAUUUCCAACACAGACUUAUGAAGAAGACUCAUCAGGACAGUCAGAGUUCAGUCCAGUUGCAGAGGAGAAGAUCCAGGACUGUAUGGAUGAAGCCUCCGGUGAGUAUCAGAACCGAUCAGGACCGGACCUGACGUCUGCUCCGACCAAUCAGGAUGAAGCUGGGGAGUCAGGUGGCGGCGUGCCGGCGCUGGUGGUCACUGAGGCGGAUCAGGCCCGUCGGUCAGCAGCGGUUCCUCAGAGAGCAGUGAGGCCUCUGGACCUGGUGAUCCCUGCAGCCAUGAGUGUAAGCAAUCUGAGCUCCAGUGGCGAUGGAGGAGACGCAAACUUCUGUGACCUCCCGUCUCCAAGGAGCGACUCCUGCUCUGUGACCAGCGAGGUGACCAUCUCCAGGAGGAGUGAAGAGGACGAUACGAGGAGCGUCACUGCUUCAUCUGUCUUGUCUCUGUUCCACAGGGUGCAGCUGGAUCCGCUGGAGAAGGACUGGCUGAGGAGUUCAGCUGUGGGGAACAUGGCCGCUCAGCGCCUGCUGCUCGCUCAGGACCCUGGCCUCGUGUUGAAGAAGGACUUCAUCACUGGGACGGCACUCCACUGGGCAGCAAAGCAAGGCCGUCAGGAGGCCGUGGACAUGAUGAUUCACUCUGGAGCCGACGUCAACGUCCGAUCGGUGAGGGGUUACACCGCUCUUCAUCUCGCCUCUAUUCACGGACAUCAGGAGGUGGUUCAGACCCUCAUCAGCACAUACAACUCACCGGCCAGAAGAAAGCACUGAUGCAAAGCGCUGCUGCCAACAAAGAGCUCAGAUUGACAGUGGAACCUCCUCCACCUCCAUUCCUCUGUGCUCCGGUCUCCAGCUGCCUCCAUCACGGACCUGGACCAUUUACGACACAACCCUGGGAUACACAUGGAUUUAUGUGGAUACAUUGGUUCAAAAUUUAAAUAUCUGGACAUCAGAAGAGAGGUUAUGUUCAACCAAACCAAAUGUAGCAAUGCUGGAAGAGCCGAAUGCCAGCUGUGAAGCCUGGAGGUAGAAGUGUCGUGGUUUCAGACGCUUUGCUGCAGCAGAACCAAAAGGAAAUUGAGGAAUAAUUUGAAGUUUCCUGGAAGUUUGGAGCUUCAGAUAAGCGGACCAGCAGGAUCUGGCUCUGCUGGAGUGAACCUGGAUGUUGAUGCUGUUUUAUUCUUCCUGAGAAGCUGCCGCCUCUCCUCCGUCAGAGGAAGGUGUUGACCUGCUCAGCUUCGCGUUUUAUCUCUAAUUACUCACCGUGUCUGCGUGGUCUCUGAGCUCUUCUCUGAGCCUGUUUGUGGAGGUUGAAGAGGUUUAAAGUGGUUCCUCAGGCAGGCUAACCGUUUGUUAAUGAAGGUCAGCUGCAGGCUUCAUUAUUUGAUUGGUUUCAGCUUUUAUGACCGCAAAGGCCUGUCUGCACAUCAUGUAGUGACAUGAAGAUGGACUUUAGGAUCGUUACGUCACUACACUAAUCCAAACAGAGCAUCCCGCUGUUUCCUGCUCCUCUGUAAAAGCAGGAAUAAAUUCUUGUUAUUUUGUGCUAAAUUCCUAAUUCAGUCCUAACUUGUUUUCCUUUAUGUCAGCCAGACUUCCAUGUAAUCUGUUACUGCUUCACCUGUUUGCUUUCCAGUCCUUGUUCACUGGCCAAAAAAUCUGGGUAAAGUGGACAAAUGGAGGAUAAGAGAUCAAAAAGUCUAAAAACAAUAAAGUCAACAGUGUAACUAAAAAUCUACAUAAUCAGACACUUUGAUGUGUAUUUUUCUCU